UGUGAUAUCAUCUCUGUUAAUGGGGUAGGAUCCGAGACUCCUUCCUGGGUUACACAGGCUCUCCUAUCCAACUCCUAUUCCGUCACGUCCUCGUCGUACAGAGUGGUCGUUAAACCGAACUGC
rnacentral:ribozyme from 1 species